rnacentral:rRNA from 1 species
ACGUAAGGCCCCUUCGGGAGUACACGAGCGGCGAACGGGUGAGUAACACGUGAGCAAUCUGCCCUUCACACUGGGAUAACAUUCGGAAACGAGGACUAAUACCGGAUACGACCACUUCAGUCAUCUGAUGGUGGUGGAAAGCUCCGGCGGUGAAGGAUGAGCUCGCGGCCUAUCAGCUUGUUGGUGAGGUAACGGCUCACCAAGGCUUCGACGGGUAGCCGGCCUGAGAGGGUGACCGGCCACACUGGGACUGAGACACGGCCCAGACUCCUACGGGAGGCAGCAGUGGGGAAUAUUGGACAAUGGGCGAAAGCCUGAUCCAGCAACGCCGCGUGAGGGAUGGCGGCCUUCGGGUUGUAAACCUCUUUCAGCAGGGACGAAGCAAAAGUGACGGUACCUGCAGAAGAAGCACCGGCCAACUACAUGCCAGCAGCCGCGGUAAUGCGUAGGGCGCGAGCGUUGUCCGGAAUUAUUGGGCGUAAAGGGCUCGUAGGCGGUUUGUCACGUCGGGAGUGAAAACUCAGGGCUUAACCCUGAGCCUGCUUUCGAUACGGGCAGACUAGAGGUAUGCAGGGGAGAACGGAAUUCCUGGUGUAGCGGUGAAAUGCGCAGAUAUCAGGAGGGACACCGGUGGCGAAGGCGGUUCUCUGGGCAUUACCUGACGCUGAGGAGCGAAAGUGUGGGGAGCGAACAGGAUUAGAUACCCUGGUAGUCCACACCGUAAACGUUGGGCGCUAGGUGUGGGACUCAUUCCACGAGUUCCGUGCCGCAGCUAACGCAUUAAGCGCCCCGCCUGGGGAGUACGGCCGCAAGGCUAAAACUCAAACGAAUUGACGG